rnacentral:tRNA from 1 species
ACCUGGCUGGCUCAGUUAGUUGGUAGAGCAUGUGACUCAUGAUCUUGGGGUCAUGAGUUCGAGCCCCAUGUUGGGUA